AUCUUUGCGCAGAGGCGAUAUCAUAGCCAAUGAGGUUUAUCCGAGGCGUGAUUAUUGCUAGUUGAAAACUUAUCCCAAUAUCCCGCACAAACGACGUGAAAUACCGUUGCUUGAUGCUAUUUUGACCGUUCUUUGGAAC
rnacentral:snRNA from 1 species